CCCCGGAGCUGAGAACCUCGACUUUAUCCUGCCAGCCUUCGCGCUGUUUCGGCUAGGGGGCCAUCCCGGCUUACCAACCCGAUGCAAACUGCGAAUACCGGAGAAUGUUAUCACGGGAGACACACGGCGGGUGCUAACGUCCGUCGUGAAGAGGGAAACAACC
rnacentral:rRNA from 1 species